AUUCAGCUGACGAGUCUCAAAUAGGACGUAGUGACGCGCGUCCUGAAU
rfam:Schistosoma rodhaini strain Burundi genome assembly, scaffold: SROB_scaffold0000188